rnacentral:ncRNA from 1 species
UAUUUAUACAGGUAGAAAUACACUGUAUACAUUCGAUUACUGAUAUUUUGUAUUAAGCGUAUCUUAAGUACGCCAGCCGAGUGAAAAAGCAGCUUUUUAUAGCUGUUUUUUUUAUGUAUAA